rnacentral:tRNA from 1 species
UUCCUGGUGGUUCAAAGGUUAAGACUCCUCACUCCCAAUGCAGGGGGCCCAGGUUCAAUCCCUGGUCAGGGAA